rnacentral:rRNA from 1 species
GGCUAUGACGGUUAGGGGGUGUGAGAGCAUGACCCCCAGCAUUGGCACUGAAACACUGGCCAAACACCUACGGGUGGCUGCAGUCGAGAAUCUUCCACAAUGGGGGAAACCCUGAUGGAGCGAUGCUGCGUGCGGGAUGAAGGCCUUCGGGUUGUAAACCGCUUUUGUAGGGGACGAAAUUUUUGACGGUACCCUUUCGAAUAAGAGGUUGCUAACUCUGUGCCAGCAGCAGCGGUAAUACAGAGACCUCAAGCGUUAUCCGGAUAUACUUGGGCGUAAAGCGUCUGUAGGGGGUUCAUACAGUUCCAAGUAGAAUUUCAAGGCUCAACUUUGAAUCCGCUUGGAAAACUAAUAACCUGCAGUCUAGCAGACGUGCAUGGAACUUGUGGCGUCGGAGUGAACUCCGUUGAUAUCACAAGGAACACCCAAUGUCAACGCCUAGCACUGGGCUACCACUGACCCUGAGAGACGAAAGCGUGGGGAGCAAAACGGAUUAGAUACCCGUGUAGUCCACGCCCUAAACGAUGAAGGCUAAAUGUUGGGGGAUUCGACCCCCUGGGUGUCACAGCUAACGCGUUAAGCAUUCCGCCUGGGAAGUACGGCCGCAAGGCUAAAACUCAAAGGAAUAGACGGGGAUCCGCACAAGCGGUGGAGCGUCUGGUUUAAUUCGACAGUAAGCGUGGUACCUCACCAGGGUUUGACAUCCCUUGACAGCCUUGGAAACAAGGUUUCCUUCGGGCAAGGUGACAGGUGCUGCAUGGUCGUCGUCAGUUCGUGCCGUGAGGUGUUCCGUUAAGUCGGGAAACGAACGAAACCCCUAUUGCAUGUUACAAUUUCUCAUGCAAGACUGCCCGGAUAUACUGGGAGGAAGGUGGGGAUGACGUCAGAUCUGCAUGGUCCUUAUAACCUGGGCGACACAGGCGCUACAAUGGCAGAGACAAAGGGUUGCAAAACCGCAAGGUGAAGCUAAUCCCAAAAACUUUGUCUAAGUUCGGAUUGAAGGCUGCAAUUCGCCUUCAUGAAGCUGGAAUCGCUAGUAAUCGUGACUCAGCCACGUCGCGGUGAAUAUGUUCCCGGAUCUUGUACUCACCGCCCGUCACA